rnacentral:ncRNA from 2 species
AUUCAAGCUCUUUCUUUUGUUUUAAAAGCCAGGAAAUGUGAAGAAUUCACCUGGAACUAAGUAGAAAACUCCAUGCUCUGCCAUCUUAAUCAGGAAAAACUAGACCAGACCUCUGUUAUCUUCUGUGAAAUCAUCCUACAAGCAAACUAACCUGGAAUCCCUUCACCUAGAGAUAAUGUACAAGCCUUAGAACUCCUCAUUCUCAUGUUGCUAUUUAUGUACCUAAUUAAAACCCAAGUUAAAA